UCCUUAGCCCAUUUAAGAGGAGUGGUUUGGUGGCAGACUCUGUGGCGGAGGACAGCUCCUCCCUGGGCCUUACACAAGGCGGGAGCACAGGGCCCUUGAGCGCCGGGGCCAGGAGCUCCAGGGCUGUUGUGACCGAGGGGUUGAAAGGCUGCUGUGGACUAAAGGUUACCGACUGCCCUGCUCACCCCUUAUCAGCCACCCUGCGGCAAUAAGACUAAUGCGCUAGAUUAAACCGUGGGCAGAGGGAAACUCCUAAAGCAAGAAUACAGAUGGGAAACCUAAAGAGAUGAUCCAUUUACAUCCUCAAGAAGACAAUAGUGUAAAGCCUCAGACUCUACAAACCAAUCAGGAAGACAGCAGAGAGUGAGAGAGAGCACAAGUCAGGGGAGAAGGAGAAAGAGUAAUUCAUUCCCCACUGAGCAAGGAGCCUGAUGUGAGCCCGUACCAGGACUUUGAAAUUAUGACCUAAACUGUGGUCAGAUGCUUAACUGACUGAGCCACCCAGGCACUCCUGGAUUAGUCAAUUACAACAUGCACCACACUUUGUAUUUAUGGACUGCAGUUUUGGCCAUAAUGUUCUCCAGGAGCAGGGCUGAUCAUCUGUGGCAAGAUCCGGUAGACAAGAAAUGAGUCAGAAUCUGCACCCUGUGCCCAAGCCAGGUGCAAGGGCCGAGAGGGUGACACGGGUAAAGAGGCAGAUUCAAAGACACAGCUGCACGCUAAAGGACAUGAGAAUGUUCAAAGAUGACGCAGGUAACAAAUGAUGUUGGGCAAUCUUGUGAGGUGGAGAGAGGAACACCGAGGGAUCAGGUAGCAGUAAUAAUAGGGGGUGUCAGGUGAGUGGCUGGGCCUCCACAGGGAUCUGUCCCCUGGUGGGAGGACAGUCAUCCUGGCCUUAAGCAUGGCCGGGGAAGUGUUUGGACAUCUUGGACUCUAUGGUAUCUUCUGCAAAUCGUGACUGCAGUAGGGGGAGGACAUGCUCUCAGAGGCAGAGCCUCGUCCAAACUACCAGCUCCUGUUUACUCUCCCUGCCAUGGCCUGGCUCAGAGAAAAGAGAGAAGAUAUAUUUUGUGUGUUAUGAGGGACCUCUAUGUUUCUGGAACAAGGCUCUUUCUAUUUAGUUGCUCAAUGGUGAGAACACUUUUCCUUUGGCAAAAAAAAGGCGACGAAGAAAGGUCAACUUCUUCAUUAAUCUCUCUCUUAUCUACUCAGUGUCUCAACUUUGGCCGUAUUUUCUUGGGCCCUACACAGCAACCACUUCAAGGAGGGCAGAAACACGUCUUAUGAACUCGUAAUUAUGUAUCACCAUUUUAAGCAGUAUCACCAUUUUAAGCAGCAAAUUCUUGGGUCGUUCCCUUGUCACCCAUGCUGUCACCUGAAUAAAAAUAUCCUGCUAUUUCAGUGCCCUUCCUUGACAAAGUACCACAGAGCUGAGGAACAUCUUGAAUCACAAUGUUGUUGGAAAGGAGCCUAUUCAACAGAGUAAGAUGUGAGAAUCAUACAAUGACAGACGUGACCUCGCAGACACCAGACAUGUGCCCAAGAAGAUGCUGACACAUUCCCAGGAGCCCGUAAAAACUCCCUCCUCUUAGCCUGGAUUACUGUCAGUCCUCCUGCUCUCCCCUGCUGAAUGCACACCUCAGCUAGUAAGGGGAAAAGACUGCACUCAGGGUUUAUAAAUAGUCUCAGUUACGUAAAGGAAGACGGCGUCACUUUGGAUUUCUGUUUACAAGUUUGUGAUUUCCCUUUCUCACUUUCAAAUAAAUGUUUAUACUAUGGAAUGGGCUCAUUAAUGAGAGGAUCAAAAUCCAGGAGGAAGAAAUGAAAAACAAAUAAGUCACACAUAAUUAUACUAUUCAGUGAUAACAACUGUUAAUAUUUUGCUUUUGGCUAACCUUUCUUCAUACAUGUUUGCUUCUUUAUACACAGAUCUUUCUUAAUAGUCACUUUUUCUUCUGUAGAGCAAAAUCUAUUAGAACAGAAAAAUAUAGCUAGAUCCGUUUUUGCUAUCACUAGGAAAAAAGUAUUUUCUGUUUAUUAUAUACAAUGCUGAAGCAAUAACAGUGUCUUUUGUUUAGACAGAAGGGGGAGAGGUUUUCAAGAGAAACAUCUUAAACAAUGAGAUCUGGGUAUUUCCUAAGCUCUAUUUCAAAAGCAAUUUGUACUGUGUGUCUGAAACAUACUAACUUAAAUAAAAGGAUAACUUUAUUAUAAAGCAAGUGACUUACUUUUUGUAUAGAUUCAGAAUAUACCCAAUAAACUAGGAAACCCUGAAUUUAAGAAUUGCAACAUUAAUGUACAGGUCUCUAAAUAAGUGGUCCUG